rnacentral:rRNA from 1 species
CACGUAGGGUGCGAGCGUUGUCCGGAAUUAUUGGGCGUAAAGAGCUCGUAGGCGGUGUGUCGCGUCGGCCGUGAAAACCUGCAGCUUAACUGUGGGCUUGCGGUCGAUACGGGCAUCACUGGAGUUCGGCAGGGGAGACUGGAAUUCCUGGUGUAGCGGUGAAAUGCGUAGAUAUCGGGAGGAACACCUGUGGCGAAGGCGGCUUUCUGGGCCUUACCUGACGCUGAGACGCGAAAGCGUGGGGAGCGAACCGG